AUUGAACGCUGGCGGCAUGCCUUACACAUGCAAGUCGAACGGUAACAGGUCUUCGGAUGCUGACGAGUGGCGAACGGGUGAGUAAUACAUCGGAACGUGCCCGAUCGUGGGGGAUAACGAAGCGAAAGCUUUGCUAAUACCGCAUAAGAUCUACGGAUGAAAGCAGGGGACCGCAAGGCCUUGCGCGAACGGAGCGGCCGAUGGCAGAUUAGGUAGUUGGUGGGAUAAAAGCUUACCAAGCCGACGAUCUGUAGCUGGUCUGAGAGGACGACCAGCCACACUGGGACUGAGACACGGCCCAGACUCCUACGGGAGGAAGCAGUGGGGAAUUUUGGACAAUGGGCGAAAGCCUGAUCCAGCCAUGCCGCGUGCAGGAUGAAGGCCUUCGGGUUGUAAACUGCUUUUGUACGGAACGAAAAGACUCUUUCUAAUAAAGAGGGUCCAUGACGGUACCGUAAGAAUAAGCACCGGCUAACUACGUGCCAGCCGCCGCCGUAAAAC
rnacentral:rRNA from 1 species